UUACUCAGGAGCUUGCUACAAAGCCUAUCUAUUAGUUUCUCCUUCUAUAUAGAAACAUAAGCAACUCUGUUUUUCAAGAGCUCUUGAACAUCUCUGAAGAAGAGUUUGGCCUCACAACCGGUGGACCAAUCACCGUGCCGUUCGAUUCAGUUUUCAUAGAGUAUCUCAUCAAACUGAUACAAGGAAGAAUCGAUGGAGAUACUGAAAAGGCUCUGUUAACAUCAAUCUCUAGUGCUACAUGUUCUUCACAACGCGCUUUGCAACUACAAGAACGGAGUCAGCAACUAACUCUUAACACAAACCUAUUGGACUCUUGAUCAACCAUAACUUGCAUUUUAAAGAGUUUCUAAAAUACAACUUACAAAUCACUUUGCCCACAAAAUAUGCUAAUCAAGAUGGCCAAGAUGGCAACGUAGAGCAGCUCUCAACAGAGAAAGAAUCUCUCAUUUCAGACAUCAGAGUCUUCUACUAAAGUAAGCUCAACCUCUACAAAGAAUCUCAUUUAAGAAAUCACUUUCGCUUUCCGAUCUAUUUGCCCACAAAUGUUGCUCCCCAAACAUAAGCCUACUUGACAUCAACCACAGAGAUCCGAAAACGACAGACAACAGAGUGAAAGCCUAGCAAUCAGAGGAAGAAGCAACCAACAUGAUCCGAAAAAAGCGAUUCUGAGACAAAGAAAUCUAAUCACCAACCCAUACAGAGGGGAACUCGAGAAUUGAGAACAAGAACAUCAACCAAGGUUGAAACAGAGUUCCAAAAUCCUCGCCCAUGACCAACGCCUCAAGAAUCCAAUUCGAAACAGAAUCGGCAAUAAACCCUCAAGAAUCUAGGUCAAAACCACCGCCAAGAACGAAACUGCCGAUCCUAGCCAGCUCGCUUCCACCUAUUGGGAUAUGUAUAUUGUAUAUUGUCUAAUAUUCUCUAGAUAAGGUUUAGGAAGAUUUACAUAUUAGUAUAUCUUGGUCCCCAAGUUUAGAUAUUCUAGUUCUCUUUGUAUAAAUACAUGAUGUAAAGGUUGGAGAUCAAUAACACAAACAUUAUAUUU